rnacentral:rRNA from 1 species
UACGUAGGGGGCAAGCGUUGUCCGGAGUUACUGGGCGUAAAGGGCACGCAGGCGGUUGUGUCAGUUUGCGGGGACAGUGGGCGGCUUAACUGCCCAAGGGUCGCAAAGACGGCACGACUGGAGAGCGAGAGAGGGACCUGGAACUCCGGGUGGAGCGGUGAAAUGCGUAGAGAUCCGGAAGAACACCACUGGCGCAGGCAAGGUCCUGGCUCGUAUCUGACGCUGAGGUGCGAAAGCUAGGGGAGCGAACGGG